GCCGACGUAGCUCAGUUGGUAGAGCAACUGAUUCGUAAUCAGUAGGUCGGGUGUUCGAGUCACCCCGUCGGCACCA
rnacentral:tRNA from 1 species